CAACCGCUUGAAUAAUCCCAGAGGUUGUCAUUAUUAUAUAAAAUCCAAAUGUGUGUGUAUUUAAUGUGGUAAACAGGGGUUGUACACAAAUAACACCUAAAAAAACUACUAGGUAAAGCAUCACAUGCUCAUGUUUAUAGAUAAAGAAGGACGUCGCUCGAUUUGUUACGUGCGCUCUUUUGGGGGUAACUUGUCAAGGCACGGAUUCAGAGGGGUCCUACAUUAGACAAAUGAAUUGAACUGGAGAAUAGACACAAACCGAAAAGAAACCCGAUUUGAUAGGGGACAGAGGAGAAAGGGGGAUUCAGCUAGAAACGAACGAACCUUAAGACGAAGGAGGAUCAUAGAGAAAUAGACCGAGUUGAAACCUUUGCCCGUCAUCUCUAACUCGUCCAAAGAGCUAUAGGUUCUUCCUGCUCCCUCUCACCACCUUUUCAGUGUCCAUCGUCGGUGCGCAACGGGUUGCUCCAAUCCAACACCGUCUCAAUGAAGGAGGCCGAUGCAAUCAAGCUCUUCAUCGGGCAGAUACCCAGAAAUCUUGAGGAGAAGGACUUGAAACCCAUCUUUGAACAGUUCGGGAAGAUCUAUGAGUUGACGGUGAUAAAGGACAAAUACACAGGGAUGCACAAAGGCUGUGCCUUUCUGACAUACUGCGAACGAGAGUCUGCACUCAAAGCCCAGAAUGCACUGCACGAGCAGAAGACGCUACCAGGGAUGAACCGGCCCAUUCAAGUGAAGCCAGCAGACAGCGAGGGCAGAGGGGAAGACAGGAAGCUGUUUGUUGGCAUGCUGGGGAAGCAGCAGUCGGAUGCCGACGUGAGGAAGAUGUUUGAGGCGUUUGGGAGCAUUGAAGAGUGCACAGUGCUCCGCGGGCCUGACGGCACUAGCAAAGGCUGUGCCUUCGUGAAGUACCAGAACAACGCAGAGGCUGCGGCAGCCAUCAGCACUCUGCAUGGGAGCCGCACUCUACCAGGUGCCUCCUCCAGCCUGGUGGUGAAGUUCGCUGACUCUGAGAAAGAGCGAGGGAUAAGGCGCAUGCAGCAGGUGGCGUCCCAGCUCGGGGUCAUCAGUCCCAUGACCUUACACCUCGGGGCUUACAAUGCCUACACACAGGUACUGGUGCAGCAGCAGGCUCUGGUGGCCCAGUCGGCGUAUUUGUCUCCUGUAUCCACCAUCACCAUGCAGCAGUUGGCUGCCCUCAACCCCAGCAGCCUCAUUGCCACGCCCAUGGCAUCACUCACUACCUCAGGUACCAGCACUCCGCCCACCAUGGCAGCCACACCGGUGCCUGCUCUGCCUCCACCACUCAGCUACCCUCCAGUGCCAGCUCCACCCAAUGGACAGUCAGCGUCUGAAACCCUGUACACCAAUGGAGUUCAUUCUUACCAAGCUCAGAGUCCAGUUUUGGAUCCUAUUCAGCAAGCGUACGCAGGGAUGCAGCACUACACAGCAACCUACCCUGCUGCCUAUGGAAUGGUGGGGCAGCCAUUCCCACACCAACACACAAUGCUUGCACAGCAACAUCAGCAGCCUCAGCAACUGCAGCAACGAGAAGGGCCUGAGGGGUGUAACAUCUUCAUCUAUCACCUGCCUCAGGAGUUCACUGACUCAGAGAUGCUGCAAAUGUUCAUCCCCUUUGGCAACGUCAUCUCAGCCAAGGUCUUUGUUGACCGUGCCACCAAUCAGAGCAAGUGCUUUGGUUUUGUGAGUUUUGACAACCCGUCCAGUGCUCAGACGGCAAUUCAGGCCAUGAAUGGUUUCCAGAUUGGCAUGAAGAGACUCAAGGUGCAGCUUAAGAGGCCCAAGGAUGCCAACCGACCCUACUAAAUGAGUCAAGACUGUCCUGUCCAUACAUAUAUCGUGGAGACUACGUGGCUAUGGUUGCCUAGCAACCGUUAAACCCCCUUCCUCUCACAGCGUUGGAAGAUAUGAGUUCUAUCAAGAAACUACUUCCAGCAUUUUGGUUUCACCCAAACCGUAUAGCAAAGGAGAAACAACACUUCUCGAAAAAUAAAAAAUAUAUGUAUCGUCUAAAAAUCAGCAACAACAGAAUAAAACAAAUGUGGUGGGUGGUUCGGAGUACACAUACCAUUCCACAGCUGGAUUCAGUCAUUAUGUACAGUACCAAUCAAAAGUUUGGACACACCUACUCAUUCAAGGUUUUUCUUUAUUCUUGCUAUUUUCUACAUUGUAGAAUAAUAGUGAAGACAUCAAAACUAUGAAAUAACACAUAUGAAAU